CGUAACGACUCUCGGUAACGGAUAUCUCGGCUUUCGCAUCGAUGAAAAACGUAGCGAAAUGCGAUACUUGGCGUGAAUUGCAGAAUCCCGUGAACCAUCGAGUCUUUGAACGCAAGUUGCGCCCGAAGCCUUCCGGCCGAGGGCACGUCUGCCUGGGCGUCACGC
rnacentral:rRNA from 1 species